rnacentral:ncRNA from 1 species
GCCAAAAAAAUUAAAUGAAAAUUUGUUUUACAGUACACCACAAAGGAAAAAAAAAAGAAUGGUAUCUAUUCUAUCGUUUUGGUUUAAAGAGUUUUUAACAGAAGGAGUCCAAAAAAGUUCCCCAUAGGGGAAAAUGGCUUGGGAGACGCAAGGGUUGUUUGCGACGUCGCUUUUUGAUCCAUGAUCGUCGGUUUUUUUUAUCAUUGUAAAGCCAAAAUUCCACCAAGCGUUGGAUUGUUCACCCAUGCAAGGGAAACUUGAGCUGGGUAUAGACCGUUGUGAUACAGGUUAGUUUUUACCCUACUAAUGACAAAACGUUGCUGUGACAGCAUUCGUGCGUAGUACGAGAGGAACCGCAGGUACGGACCAAUGGCACAAUACUUGUUCGAGCGAACAGUGGUAUGACGCUACGUCCGUUGGAUUAUGCCUGAACGCCUCUAAGGUCGUAUCCGUGCUGGACUGCAAUGAUAAAUAAGGGGCAAUUUGCAUUGUAUGGCUUCUAAACCAUUUAAAGUUUAUUAUUUAUAUUUUAAACGACAAUGGAUGUGAUGCCAAUGUAAUUUGUAACAUAGUAAAUUGGGAGGAUCUUUGAUCACCUGGUGCCAUGCUAGUUACAUAUGAAAACAUUAUUUAAUACAAUGACAAAGCCUAGAAUCAAUUGUAAACGACUUUUGUAACGGGCAAGGUGUUGUAAGUGGUUGAGCAGCUGCCAUACUGCGAUCCACUGAAGCUUAUCCUUUGCUUGAUGAUUCGA